CCAAAGGCUCUUUUCAGAGCCAACCACUUUGUCCAUGAAAAAGGCU
rfam:Gorilla gorilla gorilla genomic chromosome, chr6, whole genome shotgun sequence